AGAGAAUUUUUACACCAUCCCUUCCUGAAGGCAGGCAAGGAAAGGGCUUUUACCUGCCCAGGUGCUCCACACUGGCCCCUACCUGAACCUGACAAUUUACCUCAAGACUCAAGGCUUAAAACAGUUGUUGUGGUUUCUGUGGCUUAUGAGGUCAGAAAAACCAGACUUUGCCCACAUUUCCAGGCAGAGGGAAGUUCAUCCCAUUUCACUGGAGUGCCAGCCGGGACAGGAUAGACAAAUCUAGGAGCUGCCCUAGUCUGGUGACAGGCCUACACACUGGUUUCACAAAGCAGGACUGUGUGCAGCCCAUGGCUCUAUGCAGAGCUUGUUGAAGACUGAAAUGCACAGAGAAGUCACAGGAGUCCAGGGGUGAGGACAGCAGUGAAUGGCUGUUAUCCCAGCACCCAUAAAGCGGGGGCAAGGGGGAUUGUGAGUCAAAGCCAGUCUGGGCCAAGUAGCAGAACCGUCUUUCAGAAAAACAAUCUAUAGAUUGGAUAUUGUCUCUGCAUUUUUUCAUUGUCUUUGAGCAGUUUCAGACUCUGGAGGUUAUGAGAAACAUCAGCCCAUGGCUUUCAUCUGCAGAUACAGGAGGAGAGGUGCAGGUGGUUUCCCCUUCCGCUCAGUCAGAGAAGCUGAGCUCUCAUCUCAGCCUUCCUGAUUGUCCAACCUGUGGUGCUCCUUGAAUCUGCUUCCAAACUCUUUGCGGUAUCUCACUGGGUCUCUCAUGAAUGAGCAAAUAAAUCUUCGCUAGGCAUUCAUUUUAUUUCA
rnacentral:lncRNA from 1 species